GACGAACGCUGGCGGCGUGCCUAACACAUGCAAGUCGAACGGGACCGCAAGGUUCAGUGGCGGACGGGUGCGUAACACGUGAGGAACAUAGCCAACGGCGGGGGAUAGCCGGCCCAACGGCCGGGUAAUACCGCGUACGACCGUUUGGGGGGCAUCCCCUGGAGGUGAAAGCAGCAAUGCGCCGAUGGGGUGCCUCGCGGCCUAUCAGCUAGUUGGUGAGGUAACGGCUCACCAAGGCUACGCCGGGAGCUGGUCCGAGAGGAUGACCAGCCACAUUGGGACUGAGACACGGCCCAGACUCCUACGGGAGGCAGCAGUGGGGAAUAUUGCGCAAUGGGGCGAAAGCCUGACGCAGCGACGCCGCGUGUGGGA
rnacentral:rRNA from 1 species